UCAUAGGAGUGAGAAGUAAAGAGACAGGAGAGGGGAAGAAACUAAACACUGCUGGAUCAAGGAGGACUUUGAAUAAGAGUGGUCACUUUGAUGGACAUGGUGAUAAGAGACCUUUGAUAUCAACCAAUGCAGCAUGCAAUGCCCUAGUGAAGCCAGUUAAAGUUACACGGACAAGACAAUCAAGCAAAGAAAUGACCCCUUUAGAUACUUGCCCCAAGGACAUCUGUUUGAUGAGAAGAAAUAAUCCGAAUUCAACAUGGGUCUUAUGUGAAAAAUGUUCUUAGUGGGUGCAUAUUCGAUGUGCUGG